rfam:Aedes albopictus isolate Foshan contig84890, whole genome shotgun sequence.
UGUUCUGUGGCUUAGUUGGUUAAAACACCGGUCUAGCGAAUAAGGGGUUGUGGGUUCGAAUCCAACCAGAACGA